GACGAACGCUGGCGGCGUGCUUAACACAUGCAAGUCGAACGGAAAGGCCCUGCUUUUGUGGGGUGCUCGAGUGGCGAACGGGUGAGUAACACGUGAGUAACCUGCCCUUGACUUUGGGAUAACUUCAGGAAACUGGGGCUAAUACCGGAUAGGAGCUCCUGCUGCAUGGUGGGGGUUGGAAAGUUUCGGCGGUUGGGGAUGGACUCGCGGCUUAUCAGCUUGUUGGUGGGGUAGUGGCUUACCAAGGCUUUGGCGGGUAGCCGGCCUGAGAGGGUGACCGGCACAUUGGGGAUGGAGAUAGGCCCCAGCUCCUUCGGGGGGCAAGAGGGGGGAAUAUUGGCAAAAGGGGCGAAGCCCUGUGCAAGAACCGCCGGGUGGGGAAUGCCGCCUUCGGGUUGGAAACCGCUUUCGCCUGUGACGAAGCGUGAGUGACGGUAAUGGGUAAAGAAGCACCGGCUAACUACGUG
rnacentral:rRNA from 1 species